rnacentral:SRP_RNA from 1 species
GCCAGGCAUGGUGGCUCAUGCCUGUAAUCCCAGCACUUUGGGAGGCUGAGGCGGGUGGAUCACUUGAGGCCAGGAGUUCGAGACCAGCCUGGCCAAUAUGGUGAAACCCUGUCUCUA